rnacentral:rRNA from 2 species
CAAAAUUGGCCCACUUGGCCUCUCCGAUCCGAUUCCCGCGGCUUCACUUUCAAGCAAGCCGGGGCUCUCAUCUAUUGGGAGUUUGAGAAUAGGUUGAAGUCGUUUCGACCCCAUCACCUCUAAUCAUUCGCUCUACCGGAUGAGACUCGUCUCUUCCCGAGAGCCAGCUAUCCUGAGGGAAACUUCAGAGGGAACCAGCUACUAGAUAGUUCGAUUGGUCUUUCGCCCCUAUACCCAGCUCAGACGAUCGAUUUGCACGUCAGAAUCGCUUCGGACCUCCACCAGGGUUUCCCCUGGCUUCGUCCUGGCCAGGCAUAGUUCACCAUCUUUCGGGUAACAGCGUGUGCGCUCCUGGUGCGUCUCGACUCGAAGCGAGAAUGAGACGCCCCGGGAGUGCGGGGCUCCGGCCGGGGGGCCGGUGGCCCAUCCUCCCGCCGGGGGCGCCUGAGGCACCCCCAGACACUUUCAUUGCGCCUUUAGGUUUUUCACCCAAUGACU